UACGAAGGGGGCUAGCGUUGCUCGGACUUACUGGGCGUAAAGCGCACGUAGGCGGCUCUUUAAGUCGGGGGUGAAAUCCUGGAGCUCAACUCCAGAACUGCCUUCGAUACUGGAGAGCUCGAGUCCGGGAGAGGUGAGUGGAACUGCGAGUGUAGAGGUGAAAUUCGUAGAUAUUCGCAAGAACACCAGUGGCGAAGGCGGCUCACUGGCCCGGUACUGACGCUGAGGUGCGAAAGCGUGGGGAGCAAACAGG
rnacentral:rRNA from 1 species